UCCGCAAUGGACGAAAGUCUGACGGAGCAACGCCGCGUGAGUGAUGACGGCCUUCGGGUUGUAAAGCUCUGUUAAUCGGGACGAAAGGCCUUCUUGCGAAUAGUUAGAAGGAUUGACGGUACCGGAAUAGAAAGCCACGGCUAACUACGUGCCAGCAGCCGCGGUAAUACGUAGGUGGCAAGCGUUGUCCGGAAUUAUUGGGCGUAAAGCGCGCGCAGGCGGAUAGGUCAGUCUGUCUUAAAAGUUCGGGGCUUAACCCCGUGAUGGGAUGGAAACUGCCAAUCUAGAGUAUCGGAGAGGAAAGUGGAAUUCCUAGUGUAGCGGUGAAAUGCGUAGAUAUUAGGAAGAACACCAGUGGCGAAGGCGACUUUCUGGACGAAAACUGACGCUGAGGCGCGAAAGCCAGGGGAGCGAACGGGAUUAGAUACCCCGGUAGUCCUGGCCGUAAACGAUGGGUACUAGGUGUAGGAGGUAUCGACCCCUUCUGUGCCGGAGUUAACGCAAUAAGUACCCGCCUGGGGAGUACGACCGCAAGGUUGAAACUCAAAGGAAUUGACGGGGGCCCGCACAAGCGGUGGAGUAUGUG
rnacentral:rRNA from 1 species